UAGGUUUGAAUUUUCCUUGUUUUUUUUGGUAAGUAGGUUUGAAUUUUCCUUGUAAAGAGAAGAAAAGUGAGACUAUGAGUGCGAAAAAGGUGGAUGGUUUGUCUGCUCCGGCGAUUCGACGGGACCCGUACAAGGUACUUUCUGUACCAAAGGACGCAAACGAUCAGGAAAUCAACUCAGCUUACAGAAACUUAUCUCUCAAGUAUCAUCCGGACACGAAUGAGGACAAUCUUGAAGCUUCUGAUCUUUACAAGGAAGUUGCAUUUUCCUAUAGCAUUUUGUCUAAACCCAAAAAAGAGAAGGCAAUAUGACUAUGCAGGAUUUAAGGUUAUACUUUCUGCUUAGUGUCACUUAGCUUGUCAAGUACUUUAUCUCUUUCUCAACAUUCAUUCUUGUUAGCUAUAAUAAGAUUUGUUUCAUGAUAUAAGACCAUUGAUUCUAAUCAAAUAGACAUGGAAUAUGACUUGUCAAACCACGGAACCAUAUCUAUCGUGCUUGCAGCAUUAUUCAGGCAUAGUUAUUAACAUUUUUUCCCUUGUUAACUUCAGGAAUUAAUCUGUUUUUGUAUUAAAAGUUUCAUUCACAUUAAAAUUGUCAACAUUCAGCAACCUAGGUGUUCCCAUUAAAACUAGUGUAAAUGCCAAUGUUCUUGAAGAAGCUAGGAAUGGAAAUUUUACACUUAAGCCUCUUCCGAUUGGUACAUCAGUUAGUGGGAAGGUAGACAAGCAACACGCUGAUUUUUUUCGAGUUACGAUAAGUGAAGAACAAGCUAAAUCAGGGGUUGUUGUAAGAGUAACAUCAACAGAACAAAGUAAAUUUAAGGUAUGCUCGGAUCGGAA